rnacentral:rRNA from 1 species
ACGAACGCUGGCUCCAGGCCUAAACAUGCAAGUCGAGCGGCCGUAGCAAUACGGCAGCGGCAGACGGGAGCGUAACACGUGGGAACGCGCCCUUCGGUUCGGAAUAACUCAGGGAAACUUGGGCUAAUACCGGAUACGCCCUUACGGGGAAAGAUUUAUUGCCGAAGGAACGGCCCGCGUCCGAUUAGCUUGUUGGUGAGGUAACGGCUCACCAAGGCGACGAUCGGUAGCUGGUCUGAGAGGAUGACCAGCCUCACUGGGACUGAGACACGGCCCAGACUCCUACGGGAGGCAGCAGUGGG